GUUUGGUGUUUUUUUUUUUUUUGAAUGAAAAAUCUUUAUUUUAUCCAAAAAAAUAUUCUUAGUCCGGAAAUGUUCAUAAUCAGCAUUGAGGAAUGACAAAUAAAGAUUUGCAUAUUGAACAAUUCUGUAAAUGAUGCAAAGUUCUAGAAUCGAUGAUUUUAUGCCUUUGAUCAUGACAUAUUGACAUGUAUGUUCGCACAAAUGUGAAUGAGUUGGAAAUGUGACAUAACCAGUAUGUUCACAGCCACUAGACCCACUAGCUGGUGGGGUUCAAUUAAUGUAUGCAGUUUUAGGGAAAAAUAAUGCUGACCUGAAUUUUUGUGCUACAAUAUAGAAUACCUGGAUCACUGGUGCUAAACAUGUGCCUCUAUAGGGUAAACUCAUAAAACUGUUUCAUUCAUUGUUUUGCCCAUAGGAAAAUGGACUUGCAUGCUCAAUCAGGUUUUGAGCUAUUUUGGGUGAACUGAAUGGUGUGGAUUGUGACGUGUAGAAAUUUGAUUGAGGUUCAUGUGUUUUAAUAUGUCAGUAGAACACAUGGAAGCUUCAGCUUGUACAUAUUAGAAAAAUGACACAUGUUUCCAAGGUUUUGAUGGUUAGAUGUGGAACUGUUUGGA
rnacentral:misc_RNA from 1 species